rnacentral:rRNA from 1 species
GAUGAACGCUGGCGGCGUGCCUAAUACAUGCAAGUCGAACGCAGUGGGGACGGGUGAGUAACACGUGGGUAACCUCCCAUCAGAGGGGAUAACACUUGGAAACAGGUGCUAAACCGAUACUGAUGGAUGGACCCGCGGGGGAUUAGUUAGUUGGUGAGGUAACGGCUCACCAGGGCAACGAUGCAUAGCCGACCCUAGAGGGUGAUCGGCCACACUGGGACGGAGACACGGCCCAGACUCCUACGGGAGGCAUCAGUAGGGAAUCUUCGGCAAGGGACGAAAGUCUGACCGAGCAACGCCGCGUGAGUGAAGAAGGUUUUCGGGUCGUAAAACUCUGUUGUUAGAGAAGCGGUAUCUAACCAGAAAGCCACGGCUAACUACGUGCCAGCAGCCGCGGUAAUAC